CCAGCCUGGGCAACAGAGUGAGACUCUGACUCAAAAACACAAAUUCCUUGUAAACUGAUCAAAUAUAUUGUAUUAUUAUUCCUCGAAAUUUAUUCUACAUAAAAAAAUAAGAUGCAAGAAUGUACCAGCCUCAUUUUCUCUUAAUUUUGUGCACACAGCUAGCUAGAAUAUUCCUCAGCCUUUCUUGCAGUUAGGUAUGGCCAUGGGAUGAGCUCUAUCCAACGAAAGGGUUGUGGGUGGCAGCGAUUACAUCACUAGGGGGCCUGUUCCAUAAAACUCCCCCAGUACACUCCUCAAUGCCUUAUCCCCCAUUCUGUCUCAGUGUGGCAGAUAUCAUGACCUUGGAAGUCAUUUGUUAAAGAUAGAGAAGUUACAAGAUAGAAGAAACCUGGGAUGCUGAAUCACCAGUACUGUUAAGGACAGCUACCGACAGAUGAAGAACAUCUGUUUUGGACUUCAUAGACAAAGAAUAAACUUUUGUAACGUUUAGGCAAUUAUAUUAGGUUGAACCACAUGAAACUGCCAAUAUUUGACUGGUUUUGACCUAUAAAAAUCAUUCCAUGUGGUACAACCUAAUAGACAUUUUGCUUUGUUUCCUCUAAAAUGAAAAUCUUAGGUGGGGUGUGGUGGCUCACGCCUGUAAUCCCA
rnacentral:lncRNA from 10 species